AACGAACGCUGGCGGCAUGCCUAACACAUGCAAGUCGAACGAGACCUUCGGGCCUAGUGGCGCACGGGUGAGUAACGCGUGGGAACCUGCCCUUAGGUUCGGAAUAACGCCCCGAAAGGGGUGCUAAUACCGGAUAAUGUCUUCGGACCAAAGAUUUACCGCCUUUGGAUGGGCCCGCGUUGGAUUAGCUAGUUGGUAGGGUAAAAGCCUACCAAGGCGACGAUCCAUAGCUGGUCUGAGAGGAUGAUCAGCCACACUGGGACUGAGACACGGCCCAGACUCCUACGGGAAGCAGCAGUGGGGAAUAUUGGACAAUGGGCGAAAGCCUGAUCCAGCAAUGCCGCGUGAGUGAAGAAGGCCUUAGGGUUGUAAAGCUCUAUUACCCGGGAUGAUAAUGACAGUACCGGGAUAAUAAGCUCCGGCUAACUCCGUG
rnacentral:rRNA from 1 species